UAUCUCAUAUAAAACAAAGAAAAGACUUCCAAGCCUUCAAUGUUCUAAGUUGCCAUGGCAGCAGCACCACCACUCUUGGCUCUUUGAGUAGUAGGACUGUAGGGGAAGAAAGGCCUGACACUAGCAGGCAGAAUGCCAAGGGGCUGGGAGAGGUUACUGAAGCAUUUUAUUACUGACACUGAAGAAAUGAUUAUAGAUCAUGAAGCAGGAGAACCUACCAUACCGUGGCAAUGAGAUUCAUUGGUUUCCAGAGAGUUGCAUUUUGACUUUUAAAAGGAGAUUUUAAAAAAUGAUAGUCAAAUUGCACUUCAAUGGAUUAAAAAAAAUAACCAUUUUAAAAGCAGAAGGGUAGAAGCUGCUAGAGAGUGUAUUCAAAUCCAUGCUUCUUAGCAACCAGACCAGAUUUCAUCCAUAAAAGAAAGCCAGAGGUACAAUAAGAAAAGCCUCUUUGGUUCUCUAGAGAAUAUAAAGGCAUAUUAGAAAAAAAGAAGCACUUUGAGAUCUGUGGAUAAAAGGCACUAUAUGGGCAUAAAGUAUAUUACAAAAAGAGAAGGACAAGGAAGAAAUGAUGUCUAGACUGGGCAGGUUAUCUUGGGAUUGGAUAUUGUUUCAGGUGCAAUGCUUCCUCACGGGAGCUCCCAAGUUGCAAUACAUUCCCACCAGUGCUCCCCAUGCUGACCAAAGGAAAACAACAGCAAAGAUUUUGAGGAAAGAAUGCAAACAGAACUAAAGACAGUUGGCAUAACAUUUAUAAAAAUGUUCUACGAGCAUAUACGUAAUAAAAUCCAUCAUUCAACA